GAUGUCAUCAUGCCCCUUGUUGAUCACACACUCAGGACCCCAGACAGGCAGAUGAAUGUAUAAUUCUCACACCCGACUGCUAAAUAAUAAUUUCAUCAUUUUUCGACAAUAUGAGGAUUGUCGUCUUUACAUAUGUAAACUAAUUGGUCUUGUUGUAGCCGAUGGCGAGGCACAUUCAAAUUUCAAUUGUUAAUUUUAAAGUUUAUCAUCUUUGCAAACACAGACUGAUACUAAAAGAUUUGUAUGGUGUAACAAAAUCAAUGACAUCAGGUUACUUAUAACUUACCUCUGUAGCCCUAGAUAGUCAAUAGACUGAAAUAUCUAACUGACGGUGGCUGUAGAGAGCAAAGCUUGUUAAAGUUUUCAAUUUUUAAUGAUGACAAGUCCAUAGUUCUUCACAAUAACAAAUCCAUCAGAAAUAAACUAAGAAAAAUGGCACAGUUUGGAGAAAAUGAUGGAUUUUACAGUGCUAGUUAUGAUCAGCCAAUUCCUGGAUAUGAAAUGGGACAAACUAACUUUGGACAAGAUCCACAAUUUGGUCAGUUUGACUAUAAUCAAGGAUAUCCACCAAGUGGCAGUGCUCAAUAUAGUGGAUCAAUCUUUACACCACAAGCAGCACCUGUCUACACAGCUCCACCUGGUGGACCAGAAGAUUAUGAAAAUGAACCACCUCUGAUGGAAGAACUGGGAAUAAAUUUUGAUCAUAUUCUUCAAAAGACUAUGACUGUUUUAAAUCCGUUAAAAUCAGCUGAUCAUACCAUCAUGCAAGAUACCGAUUUAGCUGGUCCUCUAGUAUUCUGUUUAGCUUUUGGUGCAUCUCU